GACGUAGGGCGCGAGCGUUGUCCGGAUUUAUUGGCGUAAAGAGCGUGUAGGCGGCCACUUAAGUCCCGCGUGAAAUCUUGCCGGCUCAACCGCAAGCGGUCGUGGGAAACUGGGUGGCUAGAGUGCGGGAGAGGAGAGUGGAAUUCCCUGGUGUAGCGGUGGAAUGCGCAGAUAGUCAGGAAGAACACCCGUGGCGAAGGCGGCUCUCUGGAACGCAACUGACGCUGAGACGCGAAAGCGUGGGGAGCAAACAGG
rnacentral:rRNA from 1 species